rnacentral:rRNA from 1 species
AGAGUUUGAUCAUGGCUCAGGAUGAACGCUGGCGGCACGCCUAACACAUGCAAGUCGAACGCACUUUUUUGAACUCUAAUCUCGAUACUCUAAAAAAGUUUCAAGAUACGGAGUCCGAAAUUGUGAGUGGCGGACGGGUGAGUAACACGUUGGAACCUGCCCCGAAGAGGGGGAUAACUACCCGAAAGGGUGGCUAAUACCCCAUAUACUCCGAUUUAUUCGGAGGAAAGCUUUUGCGCUUCGGGAGGGGCCUGCGUAACAUUAGCUAGUUGGUGAGGUAAAAGCUCACCAAGGCGACGAUGUUUAGCUGGUUUGAGAGGAUGAUCAGCCACACUGGGACUGAGAUACGGCCCAGACUCCUACGGGAGGCAGCAGUGAGGAAUAUUCCACAAUGGGGGAAACCCUGAUGGAGCGAUGCCGCGUGCAGGAAGACGCUUUUCGGAGUGUAAACUGCUUUUAAUAGGGAAGAUUAUGACGGUACCUAUAGAAAAAGGACCGGCUAACUACGUGCCAGCAGCCGCGGUAAUACGUAGGGUCCAAGCGUUAUUCGGAAUUACUGGGCGUAAAGCGUACGUAGGCGGUUUGGUAAGUUGGAUGUGAAAAUCCCCCUGCUCAACGGGGUGGGACUG